CCUACGGGAGGCAGCAGUGGGGAAUAUUGGGCAAUGGGCGCAAGCCUGACCCAGCAACGCCGCGUGAAGGAAGAAGGCUUUCGGUUUGUAAACUUCUUUUGUCAGGGACGAAGCAAGUGAUGGUACCUGACGAAUAAGCCACGGCUAACUACGUGCCAGCAGCCGCGGUAAUACGUAGGUGGCAAGCGUUAUCCGGAUUUACUGGGUGUAAAGGGCGUGUAGGCGGGAAAGCAAGUCAGAUGUGAAAGGCAGGGGCUCAACCUGUGGCCUGCAUUUGAAACUGUACUGCGGGAGUGCAGGAGAGGCAAGCGGAAUUCCGAGUGUAGCGGUGAAAUGCGUAGAUAUUCGGAGGAACACCAGUGGCGAAGGCGGAUUGCUGGACAGUAACUGACGUUGAGGCGCGAAAGCGUGGGGAGCAAACAGGAUUAGAUACCCGAGUAGUC
rnacentral:rRNA from 1 species